rnacentral:rRNA from 1 species
GUACACUCCUACGGGAGGCAGCAGUGGGGAAUAUUGGACAAUGGGCGCAAGCCUGAUCCAGCCAUGCCGCGUGAGUGAUGAAGGCCCUAGGGUUGUAAAGCUCUUUCACCGGUGAAGAUAAUGACGGUAACCGGAGAAGAAGCCCCGGCUAACUUCGUGCCAGCAGCCGCGGUAAUACGAAGGGGGCUAGCGUUGUUCGGAUUUACUGGGCGGAAAGCGCACGUAGGCGGACUAUUAAGUCAGGGGUGAAAUCCCGGGGCUCAACCCCGGAACUGCCUUUGAUACUGGUAGUCUUGAGUUCGAGAGAGGUGAGUGGAAUUCCGAGUGUAGAGGUGAAAUUCGUAGAUAUUCGGAGGAACACCAGUGGCGAAGGCGGCUCACGGGCUCGAUACUGACGCUGAGGUGCGAAAGCGUGGGGAGCAAACAGGAUUAGAAACCCUUGUAGUCCCAUG